UGCAAGUCGAACGGCAGCACGGGAGCAAUCCUGGUGGCGAGUGGCGAACGGGUGAGUAAUACAUCGGAACGUGCCCAAUCGUGGGGGAUAACGCAGCGAAAGCUGUGCUAAUACCGCAUAAGAUCUACGGAUGAAAGCAGGGGAUCGCAAGACCUUGCGCGAAUGGAGCGGCCGAUGGCAGAUUAGGUAGUUGGUGAGGUAAAGGCUCACCAAGCCUUCGAUCUGUAGCUGGUCUGAGAGGACGACCAGCCACACUGGGACUGAGACACGGCCCAGACUCCUACGGGAGGCAGCAGUGGGGAAUUUUGGACAAUGGGCGAAAGCCUGAUCCAGCCAUGCCGCGUGCAGGAUGAAGGCCUUCGGGUUGUAAACUGCUUUUGUACGGAACGAAAAGUCUCUUUCUAAUAAAGAGGGAUCAUGACGGUACCGUAAGAAUAAGCACCGGCUAACUACGUGCCAGCAGCCGCGGUAAUACGUAGGGUGCAAGCGUUAAUCGGAAUUACUGGGCGUAAAGCGUGCGCAGGCGGUUAUGUAAGACAGUUGUGAAAUCCCCGGGCUCAACCUGGGAACUGCAUCUGUGACUGCAUAGCUAGAGUACGGUAGAGGGGGAUGGAAUUCCGCGUGUAGCAGUGAAAUGCGUAGAUAUGCGGAGGAACACCGAUGGCGAAGGCAAUCCCCUGGACCUGUACUGACGCUCAUGCACGAAAGCGUGGGGAGCAAACAGGAUUAGAUACCCUGGUAGUCCACGCCCUAAACGAUGUCAACUGGUUGUUGGGUCUUCACUGACUCAGUAACGAAGCUAACGCGUGAAGUUGACCGCCUGGGGAGUACGGCCGCAAGGUUGAACUCAAAGGAAUUUGACGGGGACCCGCACAAGCGGUGGAUGAUGUGGUUUAUU
rnacentral:rRNA from 1 species